GGGCUUGUGCUUCCUUGAGCUGCCCAUAUAUUAAAAUUGGAAUAAAAACAGAGAAGAUUAGCAUGGGCCCUAGGCAAGGAUGAUAUGCAAAUUUGUGAACCAUUCCAUAUUUUU
ensembl:snRNA U6 U6 spliceosomal RNA